UACGAAGGGGGCUAGCGUUGUUCGGAUUUACUGGGCGUAAAGCGCACGUAGGCGGAUCGUUAAGUCGGGGGUGAAAUCCUGGAGCUCAACUCCAGAACUGCCUUCGAUACUGGCGAUCUUGAGUCCGCAAGAGGUGAGUGGAACUCCUAGUGUAGAGGUGGAAUUCGUAGAUAUUCGCAAGAACACCAGUGGCGAAGGCGGCUUACUGGUCCGGUUCUGACGCUGAGGCGCGAAAGCGUGGGGAGCAAACAGG
rnacentral:rRNA from 1 species